rnacentral:rRNA from 1 species
AGAUUAAGUUAUUAAGGGCGCACGGUGGAUGCCUUGGCACUAGAAGCCGAUGAAGGACGUUACUAACGACGAUAUGCUUUGGGGAGCUGUAAGUAAGCUUUGAUCCAGAGAUUUCCGAAUGGGGAAACCCAGCAUGAGUUAUGUAAUGUUAUCUAUGUGCUAAUACAUAGCAUAUCAGAACGCACACCCGAAGACCAGAAACUGCUUAGCAUCCGGAGUAAGAGAAAGA